rnacentral:lncRNA from 1 species
GAAAGUGGAGCAGCUAAAGCACAUUAUUUUCCAUUUAUGCUGUAAUGGUGUUUGUUUUGCCUGUCUUGUCUUAGAGGAAGGAUAAUACUUGUUUACUGGACGAAGCCAUCAACAGCAUACUAAUUUGGAGGAAGCAGAGGAAGAUGGAGCAAACUGAAGAAGCUGUGGAGCCUGUGCUAUCAGGGACUGUGCCAUUUGGGAGAUAACCCUGUCUUUGCUUCUUGAGCUCCAUCUGAAAGGACAAAGUAAAAGCCUGUGUUUUUGUGUGAGCUGAGCUCAUGCAGCCAGGGAAUAUACCAUCAGGGAGCUGCCUGCAUGCCUCAUUGGUACUGUGGUAACGUAGUUGAAGACCCAGAUACCACCUUGAACAAAUUCUUUUCAUAGCUCUAAUUUCAGCAUUUCAAAAUGGAUUUUGUUUAUGAACUGGAAUGAAAAGGCAGGAUUUUGAAAAAUCUGGUAAGAAAAAAUUUCAGUAACAGAUUUGCUGAAGGCAUGAAGAAUUUUCUUUUAUAUCAUGCUUAAACCUCAUAAUUUAUUUAUAUAGCUUUGUAUAU